GUACAUUGCCAAGUCGAGCGGGCAGACAGGAGCUUGCGCUUGAGUAUCGGGGGAGGGUGGGGAAGAAGGCUCUCUGUUGGGAGUGGGGGAAAAGAUUUAAUGGAACGCUAAUACAGAUCACGUAUUACGGGAAAAAGCAGGGGGGGGUCAGUCCUUGCUCUAUCCCAUGAGCCUGGGUCGGAUUAGCUUGUUGGUGGUGAGUGAUUAUGCAAUGCAACGAUAAUAACUGGUCUGGGAGGGAGAUCAAGCACACUGCACUGAUCAGAGACCGGACUCAUACCUAUAUGAGGAGGGGCGAGAUUAAUCAUUGGUCGGAAGCCUGACCCAGCCAUGCCGCGCCGUGAAUAAGGUCAUCGGAUUGAUAUCACUUCAAUUUGGGAGGAGGACAACGCGUUAAUUCCUAUGCUCACCGACGUAAAAUUUCAAUGAGAAUACGUCGGGUCCGUGCUACCACCGCGGUAAUAAAAGUGGGCUGCGUAGCUUUAAUUACUGGACGUAGGCACCGUAGUGGCUCGUUAUUUGUAUGAGAUGACACCCCCCUGAACCUGGUAAGACAUCCUAUACUGGUCAGCUACUAUACGUUUAGGGGGGGGACUGAUUCCGGAGCGCGAAGAGAUUGAUAUAAUAAGGAAAAACACUGG
rnacentral:rRNA from 1 species